GAAUGCUGACAUCAGUUUUCUUAUCCUGCCAGCUGAACCCAGCAAUGGUCCCUGUGGAACAGCCAGCCAAUCUUCAUCCAAUACGCUGCCUGACCCGUUGAGUUCCUCCAGCUGUUUGUUUUUUGCUCCAGAUUCCAGCCAUCUGCAGUCUCUUGUCUGACCAUGAGGCUUUGCCCUGAGCGAUACAGCUUUGUCCCAUGCACCAAAGGAGUGCCUAGUGUAUAGGUAUACAGCAUUGUCUACUUGACCACUUUCUGACCAUAGAGCAUGCGAAUGGACCUGUGUGCUGUCAGCUGCUUCACAUGUACUCCUGUGCCUGUAUCUGUCAAUCAAGAUGUACUUAUCUAUGAUGAACUGAAUUUCUGUUGAAUGAACUCUUACAUUGAAGACAACUUUAUAAAUAGUUGCCAGGACAGCCUGAAAUUCUGCUUUCAUAUUUAGAAUUAAUUAUUAGAAGCACAUAGGCAGCUAAUGAAAUAUCAUUCAGGAUUGCCUGUCAAAAUGGUGCAGCUCUCCAACUGAUUACAUUGGUCAGGAAGCCCUCCCACCACUUGGUCGAAAACCACUGCAUAAUAUUCAGUAAGAUGGGAGCUUCAGGUCACAAGUAGGAUGAACUGUAGGCUUACACUGUGGAACUCCAGUUGUAUUAGGACUGGUCUAACAUUUGGAUUUCAUUAGAAUUGUCAGGUGGCAAAAAGAAGAUAUCUCAUUCAAAUUUCCCUUCUACAAACUAUCUGCAAGAAAUGCUUCUCCAGUUUUUUUUUGUAGGGAGGAAAUGGCAAAAAACUGGAACGAAUGAUGGUCCAAAGAAAUAUAAAUUCCUAUAAAGACCGAUCAUUAAAUAUCAUGGAUAGGUACAAAGGCUGAUGAAAUAGUAGUUAUUCUCCAGUGAUAUACAUUUUUUGUUAGAUCACAAGUGGAGUACUGGGGCAGUUCAUUGCACCAGACCUUAAGAAGGGCAUUUUGACCAUGGAGGGAGCACAAUAUACAUUUUUUAGAAUGAUAUCUGAGCUCUGUGUUAAAUUAUAAUGAGAAAUUACACAAAAUAGGAUUAAAAACAAAACUGCAGAUGCUGGAAACCUAAAAUAAAAGUAGACAAUGGUGGAAAUAUUCAGCAGGUCAGGUAGCAUCUAUGGAGAUAUAUCUAGAUUUAAUAUUUCAAGUCAAUGAUUUUUCAUUAGUACAUGUCAUCAACCUGAAACAUUAGUUCUGUCUCUCUCUCUCCCUCUCUCCAUAGAUGCUGUCUAGCCUGCAGAGCAUUUUCAUCAUUUUCUAUUGUUAUUACACAAACUUGAAUUGCAUGCCAUAGUUUUUUUAGAAGGUUAUAGGUAAUUUGACUAAGUUUUGAAGACAAGAGGGGAGCUGUUACUGUAAUUAAUUUAUGUCACUUGAUGAAUGUAGAACUGGGGGUAUCGCCUGAAAAGUACAUAGAACAAAGAACAUAGAACAGUACAGCACUAGAACAGGCCCUUCGACCCACAAUGUCUGUGCUGAUCCUGAUGCCAAAUUAAACUAAUCCCAUCUGCGUGCACAAGGUCUAUAUCCCUCCAUUCCCUGCCUGUUCACGUGUUGUCUAAAUGCCUCGUAAAUGUUGCUACCGUAUCUACUUCCACUCCUUCCUUUAACAUAUGAGGAGUGUUUGAUGCCUUUGGGCCUGUUCUUGAUAAGAGUUCAGAAGGAUGAAGGGAAAUCUCAUUGAAACCUGCUGGAUACUGAAAGGCCUGGAUAGAGUGGGUGUAAAGAGGAUGUCAACCAGGAUCUCACUGAAUGAUGGAACAGCUCGAAAAGCGCUCCCUUCAGCCAUUGCUUUGAAUUAGAUGAAGGAAAAUGGAAACACAUCAAAUGUGCAAAGUUUAGACAAGGGGCAGCAUAACCCAUGUGUUUAGUAAUUGGUGCCCAGGUGCAGAAGGAGAAGGCUGAAAAAACCCCAGAGAUUCCAGAUGUCAGAAUGUAACUUCAAGAAGAAUCACCGAUUCAACUGAAAACAAACUUGCAGAAGGCCCAGGGACCUGUUACACAGUUAUACCUUCCUUGUGGGCCAAUCCAGUGGCAGCUACCUCUCUUCAUGCAUCAAGCCAGAGGUUGUGGUACAUAUUGGCACCAACGACAUAGGUAGGAAAAGGGAUGAGGUCCUGAAAAAAGACUAUAGGGAGUUAGGAAGGAAGUUGAGAAGCAGGACCGCAAAGGUGGUAAUUUCAGGAUUACUGUCUAUGCCACGCGACAGUGAGUAUAGGAAUAGAAUGAGGUGGAGGUUAAAUGCGUGGCUGAGGGAUUGGAGUGAGGGGCAGGGAUUCAGAUUUCUGGAUCAUUGGGGCCUCUUUUGGGGCAGGUAUGACCUGUACAAAAAGGACGGGUUGCACUUGAAUCCCAGGGGGACCAAUAUCCUGGCGGGGAGGUUUGCUAAGGUACUGGGGAGAGUUUAAACUAGAAUUGUUCGGGGGUGGGAUCCGAACUAGAGAGACUGGGGAAGAGGUGUUUGGCUCUCAAUUAGAGAAAGCUUGUAGUAGGUAUGAGAGGGAGGAUAGGCAGGUGACAGAAAAGGGACGUGCUCAGACCGACGGUUUGAGAUGUGUCUAUUUUAACGCAAGGAGUAUUGUGAACAAGGUGGAUGAGCUUAGAGCUUGGAUAAAUACUUGGAGCUACGAUGUGGUGGCCAUUACAGAGACUUGGAUGGCUCAGGGACUGGAAUGGUUACUUCAA